rnacentral:tRNA from 1 species
UACUAGAUGGCCGAAACCUAGGCAAUAGACUGUAGUUCUAUUUAUGGAGUUAAGUUUCCUCAGUAA